rnacentral:rRNA from 1 species
CAAGUCAAGCGGAGUAGCAAUACUCAGCGGCGAACGGGUGAGUAACACGUGGGUAAUCUUCCUUCGAGUCUGGGAUAACUUUCCGAAAGGGAAGCUAAUACUGGAUAGUCCCGAGAGAUCAUAAGAUUUUUCGGGUAAAGAUUCAUUGCUCGGAGAUGAGCCCGCGUCCGAUUAGCUAGUUGGUAAGGUAAAGGCUUACCAAGGCGACGAUCGGUAGCCGGCCUGAGAGGGUGUUCGGCCACAAUGGAACUGAGACACGGUCCAUACUCCUACGGGAGGCAGCAGUUAAGA